GAUGAACGCUAGCUACAGGCUUAACACAUGCAAGUCGAGGGGCAGCAUGGUCUUAGCUUGCUAAGGCCGAUGGCGACCGGCGCACGGGUGAGUAACACGUAUCCAACCUGCCGUCUACUCUUGGACAGCCUUCUGAAAGGAAGAUUAAUACAAGAUGGCAUCAUGAGUCCACAUGUUCACAUGAUUAAAGGUAUUCCGGUAGACGAUGGGGAUGCGUUCCAUUAGAUAGUAGGCGGGGUAACGGCCCACCUAGUCUUCGAUGGAUAGGGGUUCUGAGAGGAAGGUCCCCCACAUUGGAACUGAGACACGGUCCAAACUCCUACGGGAGGCAGCAGUGAGGAAUAUUGGUCAAUGGGCGAGAGCCUGAACCAGCCAAGUAGCGUGAAGGAUGACUGCCCUAUGGGUUGUAAACUUCUUUUAUAAAGGAAUAAAGUCGGGUAUGGAUACCCGUUUGCAUGUACUUUAUGAAUAAGGAUCGGCUAACUCCGUGCCAGCAGCCGCGGUAAUACGGAGGAUCCGAGCGUUAUCCGGAUUUAUUGGGUUUAAAGGGAGCGUAGAUGGAUGUUUAAGUCAGUUGUGAAAGUUUGCGGCUCAACCGUAAAAUUGCAGUUGAUACUGGAUAUCUUGAGUGCAGUUGAGGCAGGCGGAAUUCGUGGUGUAGCGGUGAAAUGCUUAGAUAUCACGAAGAACUCCGAUUGCGAAGGCAGCCUGCUAAGCUGCAACUGACAUUGAGGCUCGAAAGUGUGGGUAUCAAACAGGAUUAGGUACCCUGGUAGUCCACACGGUAAACGAUGAAUACUCGCUGUUUGCGAUAUACAGCAAGCGGCCAAGCGAAAGCGUUAAGUAUUCCACCUGGGGAGUACGCCGGCAACGGUGAAACUCAAAGGAAUUGACGGGGGCCCGCACAAGCGGAGGAACAUGUGGUUUAAUUCGAUGAUACGCGAGGAACCUUACCCGGGCUUAAAUUGCAGAUGAAUUACGGUGAAAGCCGUAAGCCGCAAGGCAUCUGUGAAGGUGCUGCAUGGUUGUCGUCAGCUCGUGCCGUGAGGUGUCGGCUUAAGUGCCAUAACGAGCGCAACCCUUGUUGUCAGUUACUAACAGGUUCCGCUGAGGACUCUGACAAGACUGCCAUCGUAAGAUGUGAGGAAGGUGGGGAUGACGUCAAAUCAGCACGGCCCUUACGUCCGGGGCUACACACGUGUUACAAUGGGGGGUACAGAGGGCCGCUACCACGCGAGUGGAUGCCAAUCCCAAAAACCUCUCUCAGUUCGGACUGGAGUCUGCAACCCGACUCCACGAAGCUGGAUUCGCUAGUAAUCGCGCAUCAGCCACGGCGCGGUGAAUACGUUCCCGGGCCU
rnacentral:rRNA from 1 species